GGUGUGGGAUGGGCCCGCGGCCUAUCAGCUUGUUGGUGGGGUAAUGGCCUACCAAGGCGACGACGGGUAGCCGGCCUGAGAGGGUGACCGGCCACACUGGGACUGAGAUACGGCCCAGACUCCUACGGGAGGCAGCAGUGGGGAAUAUUGCACAAUGGGCGCAAGCCUGAUGCAGCGACGCCGCGUGAGGGAUGACGGCCUUCGGGUUGUAAACCUCUUUCAAUAGGGACGAAGCGCAAGUGACGGUACCUAUAGAAGAAGCACCGGCCAACUACGUGCCAGCAGCCGCGGUAAUACGUAGGGUGCGAGCGUUGUCCGGAAUUACUGGGCGUAAAGAGCUCGUAGGUGGUUUGUCGCGUUGUUCGUGAAAACUCACAGCUUAACUGUGGGCGUGCGGGCGAUACGGGCAGACUAGAGUACUGCAGGGGAGACUGGAAUUCCUGGUGUAGCGGUGGAAUGCGCAGAUAUCAGGAGGAACACCGGUGGCGAAGGCGGGUCUCUGGGCAGUAACUGACGCUGAGGAGCGAAAGCGUGGGGAGCGAACAGGAUUAGAUACCCUGGUAGUCCACGCCGUAAACGGUGGGUACUAGGUGUGGGUUCCUUCCUUGGGAUCCGUGCCGUAGCUAACGC
rnacentral:rRNA from 1 species